UACGUAGGCAGCGAGCGUUGUUCGGAGUUACUGGGCGUAAAGCGUGCGUAGGCGGUGUCUUAAGUUUGUUGUGAAAUCUCCCGGCUUAACCGGGAGGGUGCGGCGAAUACUGAGAUGCUGGAGUGCCGGAGAGGUAAGCGGAAUUCCUGGUGUAGCGGUGAAAUGCGUAGAUAUCAGGAGGAACACCUGCGGUGUAGACGGCUUACUGGGCGGUAACUGACGCUGAGGCACGAAAGCGUGGGUAGCAAACAGG
rnacentral:rRNA from 1 species